GCCAGUCCCACACCGCUUUGAACGGGCUGUAGUGCAGGAUGGUGAACUUAUCCAUGCGUGGUGCCUGGAGCUUGUAUUCUGGAAGCACAUCGGCACCCAGCGACAAGACCUGGAACGGGAGAGGCAGGGAAAAACGCUCUCACACGUCCAGGCAGGUCGGGGAAGGUAAUGUGAGAAUCGCUCAGACGUAACAAACCAAAUGAUCGCAGUGAACGAGUCGACGACUCCAAAGUGAGGACUUGUGUCGUUCGGACGGGCUGUCAUCGACUUCUGUCACGGCUGGUCAAAAGAUGGACCCCUUACAAGAUUGGAGUCUGAGUUGGAUCCCAGCAGACUGGACUUCAGAUGGUUAAACGGACCUGAAGGCGUUUGGAGUUUGUGCUCAGGCCUUCGAUGUCGUGAACGGAGGAGGCCCGUCUCCUGCUGCACAUGCUGUCUCUAGAGUUGGCCUGGGCCAGGCAGGUGGUGGACUGCGCUUGAGACGGACUGGGCAGGUCCC